AGGUGCAAUUCAUCACACACACACACACACACACACACACACACACGUUGCAUGAUUGUGUCAACUCUCUAUUAUGAUUCUUACUGUCGCUAUACAUUAUACACAGAGCAUGUCAGUUUAAAAAGCAAGUAGGUGACAUAAUAGCAGGUUUUCAUUCAAAAUUCAUAUGAACAGCACCGAAUAGCCCACCCUGAAUCUGAAAUAUGUUCUAAAAAUUCUCAGUUAAGCCCUGUUGUCAUGAAGACGGGCGAUGAGCUUGUUUGGACUGUACCGGUUCAGAUUGCAGGGGGGUCACAUGGUUGAGAGUUCCACCAUACCCAAAAUAUAGCAAUAGACAGAGCUUCCCCCAGCUGGUACUCACCAGAACUCAGUUCUAGCACCUCUCAGGUGGGCACUAUUGCCGUUAUAAGAGAACAAAGGAGACAUUCAUGGUGAGUUCCAGGACCUCUUUUUCUAGAAAAAUGGCAAUAGAUUCUCACUUUACAUAGAAAACGAGCAAACAGGGGAAAAGGUUUGCUUCCAAAGCUGUGGUUCAUAGCUGUGGUGCAUAAGAGCACUGUGAAGCACUAGCACUAAAAGAAGGAUAGGAAAUGGCUUGGUCCAGGCGCCAUCACAGAGACAAGUUUAGUGUCAGUACUUUGAUCUAUGUACCAUAUUUUGUAAUCCAUUGCAGAGGCUCAUGAGAACUGUUGUUCCUUUGACCUUGGAAUUGUGAUGGUGUGCAUAUUUCUGGAAUCCAACCCUGAGCAAACUUGUGUUGAGAGGCCUUUGCUGAUGCAAGUGUAUUGAUAAAGAAGCAGGGAGAGUAAAAUAUGCAAUCAAAGAGAUGUGCAACCAAAGGGAUGGCAUUCAGAUGAGCCUGAAGCCACUAAAUAGCCCUUGGCAAGUCACACCAAAGUUAGGGAUGUUUGUUUUGCUUUAUUGGCCAACAUCCAACUUGGGGUCAUUGCGGGAGCUAUGUGCAACUCUUGGGUUUCUAUUUAUGUAAGAGUUGACAAAUGUUUGUUUUGGUUUCAAUCCACAGGCUUCGCACCCCUAGGUUUCACUUUGAGGUUUCAUGUUGAGUGAAAAAUAAAGAGUUCUGUCUGGUUUGGGGUUAAAACCUCAAGUAACCACAGACUUCUCUCUAGAGUCUACAGGGAAAGGAGACGGUUCACUGGAAAGGGCUAGAUGUGCUGAGCUUCAUGAACUUUUCAAGGGAGCAUGAGCUGAAUAGUGACUCUACUCUUUCCCAUCAGGACAGGCUUAGUGACAUGCUUCAGAUUUAUUUUUUUUCUGAAGUCAAUAUAUCAAAGUUCACAGCCCGUUCAAAAAUAUUAUUUCCCUCACAGUUCCUGUAAGUUUAUUGAGAGAGAUGUUUUUUCUCGUAAAGUCAUAACAGUUGACCAAUACUUUAAUAGUGCCGCCUAAACCCUUCUCUGCUUGUACCAAUUCUCACCAUUGGCACCCAGUCCCAUCUCUCCUUAGGCCUUGUAUGCUGAGAUGUCUUUUAAAAACUUCUGAGAAUUUGGAGUGUUCAUGAGCAUUCCAUCACAUCUUUUUUUUAAUAGAGCCAUCAAGGACUCAUUUCAGUCAACAAAGGCUACUGAUGUUUUAAAAUAGCAGUCUGUGUUUUACCUCCUUGUCCCUUUGUUUCGUUUAUUUGAUUUGGGAAAUAACUGGGAAUAGCCAUUGCUUCUCUGAAUUUCUACUUUGCUGUGUGCUGGAAUUUGUUACCUUACUCAUUCAAAAGUUGAUGACGCAAGAUAGUUUCCAAAGCUGGCUCUGAUUUCACAUAUAGAGAUAGUGAUUAUAUAGAUUACAGGUGUUCAUUUAACAGGCAUUUAAAAAUUGGAAUGUUAAGAGUGUUGGGAUGUACACUGACACUUAUCUGAUACUCUGUGAAAGUUGAUCACCUUUCAGCUGGUUGAUCAAUUACAUUUAAAUGCAUUUACAGAUUACUGAAACUCGGUAUGGGUGCAAUUUAAAAAAAAAAUAGAGCAAGACAACCUGCAACUUAAUAAAUAAAACAACACUGAUUUCUUAAGACAGACUGAGCUGAUGUAUCAAAAUUGCCAAAGCCAUGAUUCCCAGUGCCACUUCAAACCAUAAAAAGCACCAGUAUUAGACAAGCCAGUGUUCGCUAGGCCUCUUUGCAUAUAUUUAUAUAUUUUUUUUGUGCCUAGGUGUGCAGUUUAUAUUCAACAGUAUGCAGUGUGUGGGAUCUCCAUAGCAAAUCACCUUUUAGAACUCUUUUCUUCUUUUCCCUGUGUCCAAGGCUAUAGCCUGUGGUAUGCAAACUGGUUUUGCAUUUGGAUAAUGCUUGUAUCUGCUGAGUGGUCCUUUGGGCCCCUCAGGACUGGACCAGUGAGCAUCCUCUUUCACCUGAGAACCAAUGAAAAGAAGCAUUUGCUGUUUGGGGCUGCUUUCCUCCCCACCCCGUUUUCCAUCUGCUUUUUACCGGAGUAGUUUUCUCUCUGUGCUUUGCUCACCUCUUUUCCUUAUCCCAAGUGACGUGUAUGUUGCUAAUACGUCGAUCUACGUUUGACUGGCAUCAUACAAAUGCCAGAACAUGUACCAGGCCACUGUACAAUUCCGCCAUCCACCUUAGGAAUCCAUUGCCUCAUCCAAACACAGCUUCCAGUUAGAUUCCAGGGAAAAAUAGAAGUAGCGGUGCAAGGGCAUUGCCACAGAUAAGUAAACAAAGGGAACGGAAGACAUGUUGUCUCCUAUUCUGUCAUUUUGCACCAAUAUUGGAGCAACAGAAGCCUCAGAAUUGUUAACGGUUUGUCUGAUGAUAGUUAUGCCUACAGGUGUCCCCACCCCUUUUUGGCCAGCUGACUAUUCCCUCAUUACCAGACUUCUGCAGGCAAGAGGGAACACAGAGGGGGACCAUUAACCUAUUGGAGACUUGAGAGCAAGCCAUAGAGAGAAUUCUCAGGGGUUUAACUGGCCGUUUAAGGAACGCACAGUGUUUAUUAACUGCAUUAAUUAAGGAAAUACAGUGACAUGCCAUGCAUGCAGGAACAAAACUGUAAGCGUGAUUUUCUUCCUGUUUUGCCUUCAAAAUUAUAUAUUUAUAACUAACACACACAAAUAUGCACACUCUGUUGUUCUUUCCCUCUCAACCGUGUGUGCUCACAUAUUUCUGCACACGCACACACCCACACCCACACCCACACCGUAUAACACCAGCAAACAUAUUUGCUGUUUGGCAGUCACAUGUGAGCAAAACCUACUUUAUGCACAAUAAAGCAGAAGCAUCUUGGCCCAGAUUGUUUGUGUCUCUGGUAAACCCAGCACUUGGGGGAAAUGAUUAACGCUCCUUCUCCUUCCCUGACUGCAGCAGGACACGCUUUACCUGCAUAAUGAAUCCGGCAUGUGACGGUAACAGGGGAAAGGGAACAUCCUAGGUGAACAUAUUAUUUGCCAGAAAUAAAUUAUUCAGGAUGCAGUUCCAAAUAGAGAUUGCUGGGAGAGAUAAAGCCAUUGGGGAUCUCUCCCCCUCCCCCCACCAGUUCAGGCUACAGAGACAUGGAGCAUGCUUUUCAGGAAUUCACUUAAGUGGAAUCAGCUUGGAAUAAUGCAGCCAAGAAGUAAUAUUGCUGCCAUCCAGCUAGUGUCUGUGGAACAGCAUCCUCGGCGUCUCUUCACAGUAGCAUGCACGCACAUAGGCGCAGACAUGAUACUGUGUGCAGAAGCGUAUGUACACAGAUUGUAUUUUCCGAAAGGAAACUGCACCACAGCUACCUGAGAGCAGCGUUUGUUGGCUCAAGACGAUUAUUUGCCGACGUUGCUCUUGUUUCCCUGAACUAGUUGGCCACAUCAGCGUCCGUCUGCCAGCGCAUCAUGUGUCUCCUCACGCGAUGCUCGGCUUCUUGCAGUUUGGGGAAAGAGAGCUCUCGUGACUCUGUGCACUCCUGGGCAGUAAUAUCCGGCAGCGCAGAUAUCCAAAUCCAAAACGGCAGAAAUAAAGUUGUGUGUUAUUUUAGUGGCUUGAUUUUUUUAUUUUUUUUUAAAACGAUGAUUUUAACUCUCUCCAUUUUGGGGCUGGGUGGGAUUGUGUUGCGGGGGGGAACGCCUGCUCUUUACUUCCUGCAGGAUUCGAGCCGUGCUGUUUGGAAGGAGCGAUUUCGUCUUCUCUCAGAGCGAUGACGCUGUACCACUUUCGGCAUAUCCUGCUCCCCCCGUUUACCUGGGUGGCUGCUAUUGCUGCUGUUGCUGCGGCUGCUGCUGUUGGGCUUGCUCCUGCCUGCCUGCCUGCCUUCCUGCGUUUCAACCUGGCUUGCACUACGGGAGAAUCUCUCGUCGGCACACUCUCGGCAAGAUGCGAGGAAAAUCUGGGCAGUGAAUUCUGUUCCUGCUGGAAGAGAGGAAAUGUGCGAUUCUGGGUUUUUAUAAAGGGUGAAAAAUGUGAGUCAAAGAGAUACGAUGCCAGGUAAUCCGGUGUUUACAGCAAGGGCAUUGGCAGCGAUCCUGUACGUAUGGCAAGGGCAUCAAGAAGAAGAAUCCCGGGCACUGCUGUUCGAAGGGAUUAUUAUGGGGAAAGCCAUGGCGAUGCCGUGCUUCACCUCAGAGGAGCUGUGCUGGAGAUGGAUAAAUAAAGUAUCUGAUACGUGAGCCUGUCAGAGCAUAGCCAUGGGAGGAAAAGAGUGGAAGGGAGCAAGCCAGCAAAUGAAAAGGAGGAAGAGGAGACGGCAUGCCGUUUGAUCGUGUCUGCUCAUUUCUGCAAUGAUGAUGAUGAUGGCAUAAUUUACAGAACCCAUAUCUGGAUAGAGGGACUAAAUUGUAGUCUGAACACUCCCUAAUGCGGUUACAGAGGAAACAAAAGGUGUAGGUGGCUGAAAAGACAUGAGCACCUUGUGGGGGAAAGGAGAAGUGUGCAGUGUAUGUUGUAUGUGUGUCUGUGUUUGUACAUAUGUGCAUUGAGGGAAAGGCAGCUUUCUGACUUGAGAAUGUAUAGGAAGCCUUUCAGGCUGCUGGACCAGGCUUGGUUAUGGUGAAUAUUUUCAACUACCUCCUUUCUACAUGUUCUUUUCGGCAAUAAGCAGUCAGCUUGUUUGAAAAAGACACAUUUGGAGGCGAGAUUCUGGAAAUUCUCUCUCUCUCUCUCUCUCUCUCUCUCUCUCUCUCUCUCUCUCCUUUAACACCUUGAAGCCUUGAAUCUUCUAUAUGUUACAGGGAAGAACAGUGGGAUUUUUUGUUUGCUUCAUCUUUACAAUCUUUAUAAACACAGCUGUACUCAGUCUAGUGAAAAAAUUCUAUACUGUAAAUACACGUGUGGUCAGUCUAAUC